CGGUGGAAAAGAAACUAACAAGGAUUCCCCUAGUAGCGGCGAGCGAAGCGGGAAAAGCCCAAUAUGAAAAGCCUGCUUGCAGGCGUUGUAUUUGAGCAUUCUUGGGAUGUCAGUAUGGGUAAGUUGCAUGAAAAUGCAUACCGUGGAGGGUGAAAGUCCCGUCCAGCCUGCACAAGACAUUUCGUACUAGAAUGUUUCAGUCGAGUCGGGUAGCUUGGGAAUGCUGCUCUAAUUGGUGGUAAAUUUCAUCAAAGGCUAAAUAUUGACCAGAGACCGAUAGUGAACAAGUACCGUGAGGGAAAGAUGACAAGCACUUUGAAAAGAGAGUGAAAAGAACCUGAAACCGUCAUGGGGAAAGCGAAUUGCGUUGGUGAGAGUGUUGCCGUGUGUUCAGCCAGCUUUUUGUUGGUGCAUUGACACGGAGAGCCUUGUCUGUCGUGGGUUUGGAGUGGGCGAAUUCCAGGUCCACUCUGGGCUGAGGGAUCCCUUUUAUAGGUGAGGACGAUGGAAGGACGACGCGAUUCGACCCGUCUUGAAACACGGACCAAGGAGUCUAGCGCGGCUGCGAGUCGUAGGGUGCAAGCCUGAGGGCGUAGUGAAAGCGAAUCGAUGAAAACGAGCUGUUUGAGGCGGCAUGAGAUCGUUGAUUUCAAGUCUGACCUAGAGCAGUCGCGCUGGGACCCGAAAGAUGGUGAACUAUACCGGAGUAGGGCAAAGCCAGAGGAAACUCUGGUGGAGGCUCGUAGCGGUGCUGACGUGCAAAUCGCUCGUCAAACUUGGGUAUAGGGGCGAAAGACUAAUCGAACCAUCUAGUAGCUGGUUCCCUCCGAAGUUUCUCUCAGGAUAGCGGGCCGACGGAGUGUUGUUUUGUGCGGUAAAGCGAAUGAUUAGCGCAUUCGGGGACAAUUGGUCUUCGGGCGAUUCUCAAACUUUCAAUGCGCAAGGGUAUCGCUGCUUGGUUGAGCGGUACCGGGAAAAACGUCGGCCCUGUGGGCCACUUUUGGUAAGCAGAACUGGCGAUACGGGAUGAACCGUAAGUGUGGUUAAGGUGCCAAAUUGUCCGCUUAUAGAACCCACAAAAGGUGUUGAUUCAUCGAGACAGCAGGACGGUGGCCAUGGAAGUCGGAAUCCGCUAAGGAGUGUGUAACAACUCACCUGCCGAAUGAAUUAGCCCUGAAAAUGGAUGGCGCUCAAGCGGGCAACCGACACCACACCGUCUGAUAAAGAAUGAUGAUCAGAUGAGUAGGAGGGCGUGGUGGUUGUUUGGAAGCAUGUGUGCGAACACAUGUGGAACGGCCACUAGUGCAGAUCUUGGUGGUAGUAGCAAGUAAUCAAGUGAGAUCCUUGAUGGGCGACGCGGGGAAGGGUUCCAUGCGAACAUUGAUUGGGCAUGGGUGAGUCGUUCCUAAGCCGAAUGGUAAUUGCAAAAGAUCGGCGAAAGGGAAGCAGGUUGACAUUCCUGCACACGGAUGUGGAGGCGGUGACGCACAUUGAGGUGAAGACGUUGGCGGUGGCACUGGGCAGAGUUGUCUUUUCUGUUUAACCUGUUCAAGUGGGGUGUGGAAUCCAAUUGUUGGGAGAAACACGCAUUUGUGGUAAGAGCGUCGGGGUUUUUCCGGCGUCCAGAUCGCUACUGACGACCCUUGAAAAUUUACCUAAUGAACAAAAUCCACGCCGUGGCGUACCGAUUACCGCAUCAGGUCCCCAAGGUGAACAGCCUCUGCUCAAUAUGAAUAAUGCAGGUAAGGGAAGUCGGCAAAUUAGACCCGUAACUUUGGGAUAAGGGUUGGCUCUAGUGCUACGUGGGAGUGGUUGCCCACUGUUGAGGUCGGUGGUGAAGGCUGAUUCGGAGCGAAGGAAUGGGGUGAUUCCCGCUUUUGUACUGAUAAGUUGAACGAUCGGUUUCGCGUUGGGCGACGCCCACAGCAUGUAGCAAACUAGAACUGCAACGGGCAAAGGGAAUCCGACUGUUUAAUUAAAACAAAGCAUUGCGAGGGCCGUGGACGGUGAUGACGCAAU
rnacentral:rRNA from 1 species